rnacentral:rRNA from 1 species
AUUGAACGCUGGCGGCAUGCUUUACACAUGCAAGUCGAACGGUAACAGGCCGCAAGGUGCUGACGAGUGGCGAACGGGUGAGUAAUGCAUCGGAACGUGCCCAGUCGUGGGGGAUAACGCAGCGAAAGCUGGGCUAAUACCGCAUACGAUCUAUGGAUGAAAGCGGGGGACCGUAAGGCCUCGCGCGAUUGGAGCGGCCGAUGGCAGAUUAGGUAGUUGGUGGGGGAAAGGCUCACCAAGCCAACGAUCUGUAGCUGGUCUGAGAGGACGACCAGCCACACUGGGACUGAGACUCGGCCCAGACUCCUACGGGAGGCAGCAGUGGGGAAUUUUGGACAAUGGGCGCAAGCCUGAUCCAGCAAUGCCGCGUGCAGGAAGAAGGCCUUCGGGUUGUAAACUGCUUUUGUACGGAACGAAAAGGUUUGGGUUAAUACCCUGGGCCGAUGACGGUACCGUAAGAAUAAGCACCGGCUAACUACGUGCCAGCAGCCGCGGUAACAC